rfam:Felis catus isolate Cinnamon breed Abyssinian chromosome A3, whole genome shotgun sequence.
GCCUGGGUGGCUCAGUCAGUUGAGCAUCUGACUUCGGCUCAGGUCAUGAUCUCACGGUCUGUGGGUUCGAGCCCCGCGUCUGGCU